rnacentral:lncRNA from 1 species
GGAAAGAUUCACCCUGAGCUAACAUCUGUUGCCAGUCUUCGUCUUUUCUUUUCCUUCCAAAAGCCCCAGUGCAUUGUGGUAUAUCCUGGUUAAUUUUCCAUGUAGGAGGUGGGAACGUCACUGAAACCUCUGAGCUGAUGGUUAAAAUUGGCUACUCUUGAUUCAAUGCUUAACAAGUUCAAAAAUAAACAACUGACCAAUGUGAGAGAGAGUUACCUUUGGGGCUUUGGAAUGGGGGAAUGGAUGCUCCUUAUGAGAAAAGAGUUAACAGGAAGGUACCAAAACACGAGGUACACAGUGCCAAAAUUACCACUGCAAAUGGAUGGAUCCUCUUUCGCUCUCCAACUUGCUUAUAAGCUCCUUGAAGCAUGGGCACCCAAGCUCGCCGAAACGUGGAUGUUCUCGGCUGACUGAUUUGAUCCACAUGGAUAAGUAGAUUAAAAAUUAGGGAGGAAGAAAUCCCCAGAGAAGCCCAUCCUCCACGUGGUGUUCCCACAGGAUGAACUGAAGAUAAGCACGGAUGCAUUGCCUUAUCUCUGCAUCAAGGCAGAAUGUGGUCUCUUGGCCUGUCUGCAUGCUUCAGAUGCUGGCUAAAUGCGUACAUCUGCCUUGGUGGCUUCCUUCAUGGGAAUGGAGGUGGGCAGAAGAAGGAAAUCUUCAGCCCGAUCCGCCAUGAACACAGAUACAGCUAUCUAAAGAAGUGCACAAAUGAGUGGAGAAGGCAUCCUAUAGCCUUUGAAAGCACGAAGUAUGAUUCCAC